UCCGCACACCGCAUCCCGGCACUUUAAGACGUGCACGUGUGUUCAGUCGCUGCCAUUGGUCGUCGGUUCCGAGAAUGCACGCGUCUUUUUAGGGGUAAAGUAUAAAAAAGUAAGAAUAACUUUUUUCCUGACAAGUAAAUAUGACGUGGGGCAUCGCUUCAAGAGAGCUGUCAUUGGGAUUGGAGAGACUGGGUUAUCUAGCUGUUCGGCCCAGUGAGCUAAGCAAGCCACCUGCCCAAGGCUGCCACACAGCUCUGUUCCGACGCCAGCCUUCGGCCAUGGCUCGCCAGCCUCGCUUCAGGGUCAGUCGGGAGAGGUCUCCAGCCGCACCUGUGCUGGGGAGAGACUUACCAAGCUACCUAUCCUGGGGAACGGGCUUCCAAGGAAUAUAGGAUGAAAACACUCAGGACAAGUCCACAGGUAAGGAGGUGUGUGUUGAACCAUAGGCCCAGUCCUGGGUGUCUUACUGGCUGGUUAGUAGGAGCAGCCUUUUGAUGAUUCCUGAAAUUCUACCAGAGCUGCCAACUUCAGGGAAGAGAUGCAUUUACUCAUCCUCUCCUUUGUAAAUGAUACAGACUUUUCUUUCUCCCCAUCCAUCAUUUUACGAGGAGCCACUGGAGCAUGGCGCACACACCAAGGGGCGGCAACAGUGCAGGGCAGACGAGAGUUUGUGGGUCCGGCCAUCUCUUACUGUCUCCAGCACCUGAACCCUCUAACUCUCAAUUUCCUCGUCUCUGAAAUGAGCAGAAUGUCCAUGCUGAGACUGCUGAGAGGAUGGGAGGUAAGCGCUGUGUGUGUAUGGAGGCACGGUUUAGUGCAUAUCUUGCUUAAAACCUGCCAUGCUCCUGCUUCACUGAGAACAAAUCUAAAGUCCUUCCCACGGCCUGUGAGGCUGGAUGCACUCGGGCACCCACCUCUCUUCAUCUUGCACCUCUCGCCAUGCUCCAGGCACGCCGAUCUCCUUUCUGCUCUGCAGAUGCCCCCAGCUCGUCCCACGUCUGUGUUUUUGCACUUGCUUGUCCCCACACCUGGCAUCCUCUUGCUCCAGAGCCUCAGGUCGUCCAGGUCCAAGUGAGGCCUGGUCUGAGCACCCCGUGCCCAGGACAGUUGCAGAUACUUCCUCUCAUCACUGUCAGCACCCGCUAGCAAGAUCUCGUUCAUUUACUCACGUGUUUAUGGGGGCAGGAAAUGUGUCUGGCUCUUAGCCAGUGUGUGUUCAGACGUUCGAUGGAUGGGUGAGUGUGUGAUAAUUCUCGGUGAUGCCGGAGCAUGCUACAGACCCAUUAAUGGGAACUUCUGCCCACUCCCUCCCGGGAAUCUCCCCAAUGCCCAGAUCUUUCUUUCUCCAGUGUUUCCCCAUUCCCCAGACAUCAGGCCGUGUUUUGGGGUUGGACCCAGCCUGAUCUAGAAGGAAAACUCCUGAUUAGGCCUCCUCACACGUGACUUGGCUUCCCCUCACCCAGAGACAGUGACACUCAUCUUCUUUAGUGACAUGAAGCUGCUCUGACCCGAGCUCAGCGUCCACUUUUGGCCUAGUCACGUCACCCCUGGGUACCGGCGUCAGGCAGCCCCUCCUGUGCAAGGCAGGAAUCGGGCUGGGUUGGGACUGGGGUUGGGUUGGGGUCUGUUACUCUUGAACAAUUAAUGUACUUUGAGUGAAGCGGCGUAAAUAAAGAGACACGGCCA